rnacentral:rRNA from 1 species
UGGGGAAUUUUGGACAAUGGGGGAAACCCUGAUCCAGCCAUCCCGCGUGUGCGAUGAAGGCCUUCGGGUUGUAAAGCACUUUUGGCAGGAAAGAAACGUCAUGGGUUAAUACUCUGUGAAACUGACGGUACCUGCAGAAUAAGCACCGGCUAACUACGUGCCAGCAGCCGCGGUAAUACGUAGGGUGCAAGCGUUAAUCGGAAUUACUGGGCGUAAAGCGUGCGCAGGCGGUUCGGAAAGAAAGAUGUGAAAUCCCAGAGCUCAACUUUGGAACUGCAUUUUUAACUACCGGGCUAGAGUGUGUCAGAGGGAGGUGGAAUUCCGCGUGUAGCAGUGAAAUGCGUAGAUAUGCGGAGGAACACCAAUGGCGAAGGCAGCCUCCUGGGAUAACACUGACGCUCAUGCACGAAAGCGUGGGGAGCAAACAGG